AUGGGCAAAUGAUGUUAAAACUUCUUAUCCUACACACUGAAUUAAUGUAGUGAAGAUGAAUAACUCCGCUUAUUAUCUGAUGCCUUC
rfam:Cajanus cajan Scaffold126149_15, whole genome shotgun sequence.